GUAGAGCAUCGCCUUGCCAAGGCGAGGGUCGCGGGUUCGAAUCCCGUCUUCCGCUCCA
rnacentral:tRNA from 1 species